AGAACAGUACCUGGUCCAUGGCCUGUUAGCAGCCAGGCCGCACAGCAGGAGGUGAGUGGCAGGCCAGCAAGCAUAACCGCCUGAGCUCUGCCUCCUGCCAGAUCCGCAGCAGCAUGAGACUCUCAUAGGAGCUCAAACCCUGUUAUGAACUGCACAUGUGAGGGAUCUAGGCUCCUUAUGAGAAUCUAAUGCCUGAUGAUCUGUCACUGUCUCCCAUCACCCUCAGAUGGGACUGUCUAGUUGCAGGAAAACAAGCUCAGAGCUCCCACUGAUUCUACAUUAUGUCUUCUGGGAGUAAAGAAUAAGUGAAAAACUGACAGCGAAUCAUCUUUGUGCAAGUCUCUUGGCAAACAUUCACUCCUUUAACAAAAGUCACAUUCAAUUCUUCUCCUCCA
rnacentral:lncRNA from 1 species